rnacentral:rRNA from 1 species
GACGAACGCUGGCGGCGUGCUUAACACAUGCAAGUCGAACGAUGAAGCCGGAGCUUGCUCUGGUGAAUUAGUGGCGAACGGGUGAGUAACACGUGAGUAACCUGCCCUUGACUCUGGGAUAACUGCGGGAAGCUGUAGCUAAUACCGGAUACGACCCUCGGAGGCAUCUCCUGGGGGUGGAAAGAAUUUCGGUCAAGGAUGGACUCGCGGCCUAUCAGCUAGUUGGUGAGGUAAAGGCUCAGCAAGGCGACGACGGGUAGCCGGCCUGAGAGGGUGACCGGCCACACUGGGACUGAGACACGGCCCAGACUCCUACGGGAGGCAGCAGUGGGGAAUAUUGCACAAUGGGCGCAAGCCUGAUGCAGCAACGCCGCGUGAGGGAUGACGGCCUUCGGGUUGUAAACCUCUUUUAGCAGGGAAGAAGCGAAAGUGACGGUACCUGCAGAAAAAGCACCGGCUAACUACGUGCCAGCCGCCGCGGUAA